CCCAUUCCUUGUAACAUUUGCUAAAACAACAGUUUGUGUUGAUACACUGUCAUACUGGAUACGUUUGGUGCAUACAGUUUACCCAUAAUAGUGGUAUGGAUUUAUGAGGCUAUUGAUUGCCCUUGUAUUAUAGCCACGAGUGGUUUACUGAGGGUGAUAUACAAAGCCUCUCUUGGUGACAUUCUUCCAGUUAGCAGUUUGUGUUG